AGUGAACGCUGGCGGCGUGCUUAACACAUGCAAGUCGAACGAGAACGGAUUAUAGCUUGCUAUAAUUGUCAGCUAAGUGGCGCACGGGUGAGUAAUGUAUAGGUAAUAUGCCUCUUACUAAGGGAUAACAAAUGGAAACGUUUGCUAAUACCUUAUACUCCUUAUUAACAGAAGUUAAUAAGGGAAAGAUUUAUUGGUAAGAGAUUAGCCUGUAUUGUAUCAGUUAGUUGGUGGGGUAAUGGCUUACCAAGACUAUGACACAUAACUGGUUUGAGAGGAUGAUCAGUCACACUGGAACUGAGACACGGUCCAGACUCCUACGGGAGGCAGCAGUGGGGAAUAUUGCACAAUGGACGAAAGUCUGAUGCAGCAACGCCGCGUGGAGGAUGACACAUUUCGGUGCGUAAACUCCUUUUAUAUGAGAAGAUAAUGACGGUAUUAUAUGAAUAAGCACCGGCUAACUCCGUGCCAGCAGCCGCAGUAA
rnacentral:rRNA from 1 species